ACUUGAAUUAAAGUAUUUACUUUUAGAAUCGUCAUUGCUGUAAGCAAUGCUGUUGGGCGUGUUAACUGGCCGUUUCGCGAGGAUGCUUUCCAUAAAUGGCUUGAAUUGAGAACCAAAAAAAGACGACAGAUUUCAAACGAAGUUGAAUUGACACUGUUGGCUGAUUGAAUAAGAGUGAAAGCAAGUUGAUAGAGAAAACACAACCAGCAACGUGUCACGGGCUCGCACGUAGCACAUUGGAUGAGGCUACCUUUAACCGACAGUGAACUUUUGAGUAAACGAGAACCGCUUGGACAACUGUUUGAACUUUGUCAACAAGGCGGUGCCCUGGUGAAGUGAAAGGAUUCUACGUGGAGAAAGCAAAUUAGCUUUUACUCAAGGAAAAACCUGAUCGACUUGUUUGAUUUCUCCUAGACACUACACCCAGUCUCGGGUCCAGGGGACCGAUGGUAAAUUCCUAAUUUUGAAGAAAUUUCGAGAUAUCAGAGGACCAAAUAGGCUUCAGUGGUUUUUACUACGUCACUAUAUUUGUCCGAGACAGUAGUGGCAUCUAACGGGAUUCGUCAGCUUCUGAU